UGAAACUCGCCUACAUGAAGCUGGAAUUGCUAGUAAUCACAGGUCAGCAUACUGUGGUGAAUACGUUCCCGGGCCUUGUACACACCGCCCGUCACACCAUGAGAGUUGAGAAUACCCGAAGCCCAUGUCAAAGUGGUCGAAGGUAGGCUUGAUGAUUGGGGUGAAGUCGUAACAAGGUACC
rnacentral:rRNA from 1 species